CCUGCCCCUAGAGGCUGCGGGUGUGGCUGCUGUGUAACCUGUCCUCAGUAGGUGGCAGUAAGGAGAGAGGCUAUGUCUACGGAUCGGUGUUCUGACGCUGCUAUGAACGUCUGAUUGAUUAGUAUAGCUGAAAGG
rnacentral:snoRNA from 1 species